rnacentral:lncRNA from 1 species
ACGCCACGGCCGAGACGUUCUGCUCCGGGAAGACUCCUGGUAGCGACUUCAGGCUGGCGACUAGGACAGGCGUCGUGGCGGGGUGUCGCCGAGAGGAAGCCCGCCACGCGCGGGAGACGGCGGUCCGUAGCUCUAUACAAACGCCGUGGCGUCCGGGAGCCGCGGGGCCGCGUGGUGUGUGGCUGGCGCGCUCGGGUGGGUUCAUACAUAGCAGAGGCCCAAGGGGCUGGUGGCGAGUGGUCGCGCUUCUUCAGGUCGGGAGGGGUUGUUAAUGAGCAUGAGCGGGCUGUGCGCGGGUGUGUGUGUGUGUGUGUGUGUGUGUGUGUGUGUGUGUCCCCUGAGCGUGUGCACACGCCGCGCGCGCCAGGCGCGUACCUUUACCUCUGACGAAACUGCAGUGGAGCUCCCAGCAGCGUCGCUGGGCACGGUCACACGCCCGGUGUUUGUGUCUGCCCACGGCGGGCCUUAGCCUCAGCACCCCGGGAGUGGACAGCGUGGAACCAGGACAGGAGGUGGUAGGGAUAUGGGGGUCCCGGACAAGACUUGCACCCCAGAUCUUGAUUGCUUGGAGUCGUGUCUGUAUCUUUACACUUAAGAACCGAGUAGAACAGGCCCAAAAAUAGCCAGUGAGACUCUUUCACCCAUACCAAGGUUGUCCGCUCUGGAUAGGACCCUCUUUAACUCUAGCUUUGGUGUUUGUCUCACCGCUAAUUGUUUGCCCUUUUAGCCACCAGCCUAUCCUACUCAGUAGGUAGUUUCCUUGCUUCACCCAAGAAAAUUGGGUAAUCAGUUGUCAGCAGAAACAGUGCAGUGAAAGUUAAUUUGGGACGUUUGCUCCCCCCAUCCCCUUUAACUUAAUCACGUGACAGGCCGAAGAUCUCCGGGUGAUCUUUGCCGGGCCAACUUGGGAUAUGUAAUUGAUACCAGGAGCGUUGCAGCCGCCCCUAGAAGGCUCCGAGCUGAGCGGGAAUGGGCGGGGCAGCCCGCCGCCUCAUUUUACAGUUGGGGAAGAGGCUGUGAGGGGUGAGCUGCUUGUCCACGACCACUCAGCCAGGGGGUGACAGAGCCACCCAGGGCUCCUGACUCCAGGUCCUGUGUGUUACCUCGAAAUAGCACUGGACUUGGAGUCAGAAG